GAUGAACGCUAGCGACAGGCUUAACACAUGCAAGUCGAGGGGCAGCACAGGUAGCAAUACCGGGUGGCGACCGGCGCACGGGUGAGUAACGCGUAUGCAACUUGCCUAUCAGAGGGGGAUAACCCGGCGAAAGUCGGACUAAUACCGCAUGAAGCAGGGAUCCCGCAUGGGAAUAUUUGCUAAAGAUUCAUCGCUGAUAGAUAGGCAUGCGUUCCAUUAGGCAGUUGGCGGGGUAACGGCCCACCAAACCGACGAUGGAUAGGGGUUCUGAGAGGAAGGUCCCCCACAUUGGUACUGAGACACGGACCAAACUCCUACGGGAGGCAGCAGUGAGGAAUAUUGGUCAAUGGCCGAGAGGCUGAACCAGCCAAGUCGCGUGAGGGAUGAAGGUUCUAUGGAUCGUAAACCUCUUUUAUAAGGGAAUAAAGUGCGGGACGUGUCCCGUUUUGUAUGUACCUUAUGAAUAAGGAUCGGCUAACUCCGUGCCAGCAGCCGCGGUAAUACGGAGGAUCCGAGCGUUAUCCGGAUUUAUUGGGUUUAAAGGGUGCGUAGGCGGCCCUUUAAGUCAGCGGUGAAAGUCUGUGGCUCAACCAUAGAAUUGCCGUUGAAACUGGGGGGCUUGAGUAUGUUUGAGGCAGGCGGAAUGCGUGGUGUAGCGGUGAAAUGCAUAGAUAUCACGCAGAACCCCGAUUGCGAAGGCAGCCUGCCAAGCCAUUACUGACGCUGAUGCACGAAAGCGUGGGGAUCAAACAGGAUUAGAUACCCUGGUAGUCCACGCAGUAAACGAUGAUCACUAGCUGUUUGCGAUACACUGUAAGCGGCACAGCGAAAGCGUUAAGUGAUCCACCUGGGGAGUACGCCGGCAACGGUGAAACUCAAAGGAAUUGACGGGGGUCCGCACAAGCGGAGGAACAUGUGGUUUAAUUCGAUGAUACGCGAGGAACCUUACCCGGGUUUGAACGCAUUCGGACCGAGGUGGAAACACCUUUUCUAGCAAUAGCCGUUUGCGAGGUGCUGCAUGGUUGUCGUCAGCUCGUGCCGUGAGGUGUCGGCUUAAGUGCCAUAACGAGCGCAACCCUUGCCACUAGUUACUAACAGGUUAGGCUGAGGACUCUGGUGGGACUGCCAGCGUAAGCUGCGAGGAAGGCGGGGAUGACGUCAAAUCAGCACGGCCCUUACAUCCGGGGCGACACACGUGUUACAAUGGCGUGGACAAAGGGAUGCCACCUGGCGACAGGGAGCGAAUCCCCAAACCACGUCUCAGUUCGGAUCGGAGUCUGCAACCCGACUCCGUGAAGCUGGAUUCGCUAGUAAUCGCGCAUCAGCCAUGGCGCGGUGAAUACGUUCCCGGGCCUUGUACACACCGCCCGUCAAGCCAUGGGAGCCGGGGGUACAUGAAGUCCGUAACCGAAAGGAUCGGCCUAGGGUA
rnacentral:rRNA from 1 species